rnacentral:rRNA from 1 species
CCCUUAGACGUUCUGGGCCGCACGCGCGCUACACUGACCAGUGCAACAAGCAUCCGUCCUUGGCCGACAGGCUCGGGCAAUCUUUGAACGCUGGUCGUGAUGGGGAUAGACUUUUGCAAUUUUUGGUCUUCAACGAGGAAUUCCUAGUAAACGCAAGUCAUCAACUUGCAUUGAUUACGUCCCUGCCCUUUGUACACGCCGCCCGUCGCACCUACCGAUUGAAUGGUCCGGUGAAGCCUCCGGAUUGGCGCGCACCUCGGUGCCGCCGAGAAGUUGGCUAAACCUUACCAUUUAGAGGAAGGUGAANUCGUANCA